rnacentral:rRNA from 1 species
UACGUAGGUGGCAAGCGUUGUCCGGAUUUAUUGGGUUUAAAGGGUGCGUAGGCGGCUUUGUAAGUCAGUGGUGAAAUAUGGCAGCUUAACUGUCAGGGUGCCAUUGAUACUGCAGAGCUUGAGUACAGAUGAGGUAGGCGGAAUUGACGGUGUAGCGGUGAAAUGCUUAGAUAUCGUCAAGAACACCUAUAGCGAAGGCAGCUUACUAGGCUGUAACUGACGUGAGCACGAAAGUGUGGGGAUCAAACAGG